CUUGCUAGCUGAGAGAGGUGCAUGGCCGUCGUCAGUUCGUACUGUGAAGCAUCCUGUUAAGUCAGGCAACGAGCGAGACCCACGCCAACAGUUGCCAGCUCGUCCUCCGGGAUGGUGGGGACACUGUUGGGACCGCCUCUGCUAAAGAGGAGGAAGGGAAUGGGCAACGGUAGGUCAGCAUGCCCCGAAUUAUCUGGGCUACACGCGGGCUACAAUGGGUGGGACAAUGGGUAUCGACACCGAAAGGUGAAGGCAAUCUCCUAAACCCAUCCGUAGUUCGGAUUGUGGGCUGCAACUCGCCCACAUGAAGCUGGAAUCUGUAGUAAUCGUGUCUCAAAAUGGCACGGUGAAUAUGUCCCUGCUCCUU
rnacentral:rRNA from 1 species